rnacentral:rRNA from 1 species
UGGGGAAUAUUGGACAAUGGGGGCAACCCUGAUCCAGCAAUGCCGCGUGGAUGAUGAAGGCCCUAGGGUUGUAAAGUCCUUUCGACGGGGAAGAUAAUGACGGUACCCGUAGAAGAAGCCCCGGCUAACUUCGUGCCAGCAGCCGCGGUAAUACGAAGGGGGCUAGCGUUGCUCGGAAUCACUGGGCGUAAAGCGCACGUAGGCGGACUCUUAAGUCGGUGGUGAAAUCCUGGAGCUCAACUCCAGAACUGCCUUCGAUACUGAGAGUCUCGAGUCCGAGAGAGGUGAGUGGAACUGCGAGUGUAGAGGUGAAAUUCGUAGAUAUUCGCAAGAACACCAGUGGCGAAGGCGGCUCACUGGCUCGGUACUGACGCUGAGGUGCGAAAGCGUGGGGAGCAAACAGGAUUAGAUACCCGAGUAGUCCCUGAGCGGGCUGGCAAGGCGCAU